rnacentral:rRNA from 1 species
GGUUCAUUCAAAUUUCUGCCCUAUCAACUUUCGACGGCUGGGUCUUGGCCAGCCAUGGUGACAACGGGUAACGGAGGGUUAGGGCUCGACCCCGGAGAAGGAGCCUGAGAAACGGCUACUACAUCCAAGGAAGGCAGCAGGCGCGCAAAUUACCCAAUCCCGACCGGGGAGGUAGUGACAAUAAAUACUGAUACAGGGCUCUUUUGGGUCUUGUAAUUGGAAUGAGUACAAUUUAAAUCCCUUAACGAGGAACAAUUGGAGGGCAAGUCUGGUGCCAGCAGCCGCGGUAAUUCCAGCUCCAAUAGCGUAUAUUAAAGUUGUUGAGGUUAAAAAGCUCGUAGUUG